rnacentral:rRNA from 1 species
AGAAUCAACGCUGGCGGCGUGCCUAACACAUGCAAGUCGAACGCGAAAGUCCCGCAAGGGGCAAGUAGGGUGGCAAACGGGUGAGUAACACGUGGGUGACCUGCCUUCGAGUGGGGGAUAACGUCCCGAAAGGGACGCUAAUACCGCAUGACAUCCUGUCCUUAGACGGACGGAGAUCAAAGCUGGGGAUCGCAAGACCUGGCGCUUGAAGAGGGGCCCGCGCCUGAUUAGCUAGUUGGUGAGGUAACGGCUCACCAAGGCUACGAUCAGUA